rnacentral:rRNA from 1 species
UGAGGAAUAUUGGACAAUGGGCGCAAGCCUGAUCCAGCCAUGCCGCGUGCAGGAUGACGGUCCUAUGGAUUGUAAACUGCUUUUGCACAGGAAGAAACAACGCUACGUGUAGCGUCUUGACGGUACUGUGAGAAUAAGGAUCGGCUAACUCCGUGCCAGCAGCCGCGGUAAUACGGAGGAUCCAAGCGUUAUCCGGAAUCAUUGGGUUUAAAGGGUCCGUAGGCGGUUUAGUAAGUCAGUGGUGAAAGCCCAUCGCUCAACGGUGGAACGGCCAUUGAUACUGCUAGACUUGAAUUAUUAGGAAGUAACUAGAAUAUGUAGUGUAGCGGUGAAAUGCUUAGAGAUUACAUGGAAUACCAAUUGCGAAGGCAGGUUACUACUAAUGGAUUGACGCUGAUGGACGAAAGCGUGGGUAGCGAACA